rnacentral:misc_RNA from 1 species
UCUCCGUUGGUGAACCAGCGGAGGGAUCAUUACAGGACUCGCAAGACUCCUUCACCCUGUGAACCGCACUACAAGCACGUUGCUUCGGCGGGUGUCCCGGCGGGGGUUUUCCCUCGCCGGGGUGCACAGCCCGCCGGCAGCCUACUAUACUCUGUCUCUUUGCGUUGGCAUCUCGAGAAAAAACAAACAAGUUAAAACUUUCAACAACGGAUCUCUUGGUUCUG